UACGUAGGGUGCGAGCGUUGUCCGGAAUUAUUGGGCGUAAAGAGCUUGUAGGCGGUUUGUCGCGUCUGCUGUGAAAAUCCGGGGCUCAACCCCGGACUUGCAGUGGGUACGGGCAGACUAGAGUGUGGUAGGGGAGACUGGAAUUCCUGGUGUAGCGGUGGAAUGCGCAGAUAUCAGGAGGAACACCGGUGGCGAAGGCAGGUCUCUGGGCCAUUACUGACACUGAGAAGCGAAAGCAUGGGGAGCGAACAGG
rnacentral:rRNA from 1 species